rnacentral:lncRNA from 1 species
GGAUCUGUCGUGAUGAACGUCGUAGCCGCCGCCCGCUUCGACAGGCGCGACUUCCGCUUACUUAUCCUCCCAGUCGGCGCGUCAAUCCGGCGUUUCGAAACCGAAACUCCACUUCCUAAACCUCCCGCAGCAGUGGGCGUCUGCACGGGCGUCAAUUCGGGACUAGCCAGAAAAGACUCAACCGUAUCCGUCGAAAUUUCAUAACUGGAAUUAUUCUCAAUCGACGGAUUCGUGAGCGAAUUCUGCAAGACUUUUGUCAGAGCUUCCGUUUCUUUAGAAAAGACAUCGCAAAACCAAGAAUCAGCAAACGUUUGACAGAACGGCCCCCAUGGCUGUUCCAUCGCCAAUAAAUUCUCAGAAGAAACCAUUUUUAAACUACCGAGACAAAAAAUAAUCAGCAAAUCGAACCCAAUUUUUUGCCUACAAACACGAAUCAAUCAAAUU